rnacentral:lncRNA from 1 species
GGAGUAGGGGUGAAAGGCUAGUAUUAUUUCUUUCCAAGAUUAUACUCAAGAAAAUGUUCAACUUGAAGUGUUUUUCUAACAAGACUGAAAAAGAAAGGAAGACUUCAUCAGGUAGGUCAUAAAAGUGCUAAACAUUGAAAAAUCAGAGCCAUAAUGAUGCUUCAAAUUAGCUUCCCCUGAGGAGGGGAUUCUGGCCGCAGCCUUUGUUAAGUGCCGUAAUGUGUAGUGAGUAAGAUGAAUUAUUCAUGUAAUAUUUGAACAUACUCUGGGAAUUUCUGAAGGACUCUAGGAGAAAAAUAUGAUUUGUCUUUCAGGUGAUAAGAAGAAUUUAGAUCCUGAUUUCAAGCAAAUAAAAUACAAUUCAAGAGCAGCUUGCACUGAUAUCAGUAUCUUGAGAAUUCCUACCCCCAUCGCCACCCCAGUAAAAACCCAAGGAAAUAUAAUUCAAUCAGCUGGGGUAAGAACCUGUGCUGAUUAUGUGAGCAUUCUGCUGAAUUCUCAGAGGUGGGACUGCCAUUCCUGAUGCAGGAUUUGCAUUCAGCCUGCCUUUGCUAAGUAUACAACUGCUGCUAUUUGUGUACGUGAAUUAUUUCUUCCAUAACAAGGUUGGAAUUACAUUUAGGAAUUUAAUUCAAAUUAAGUACUAAUAAUAGGAGCAACUUUUUUAAUGUCAUAAAAAGUGCCCUGGUACUUAAAAUAUAAAGUGUCACAAAGCACUUCCCUCUCCCUGCAUACCUGCAGGUUCUAACCUCAUCAUGAAAUUUUUGGUCAAAUUAUUUUCCAAGUUGUUACCAAUGGAAUGAAGGGAAUCCAAGUGAGAUUCAAUGCUCACUUUCUUGAGAUUGCUUUAAAAUUCUGUGUUUUGUUUGUUUGUUUUUUGUUUUUUGUUUAAAAGACUGUCUAGCAGAUAUUCACUCCCUUUUCUUUGGGAACUUGGUGGCACAAAUGGCUAAGGAUGCUUUCAAAAAGAGCAGGGAUUUAUUCAAGCUGAUUACUUGUACUUAGGUACUAUUUAUUAAAAGUUGGCUAGUAAAAAAUUAAGAAAAUGAACCCAGGAUGCUAAGAACUUCAACUAUUACUCAGCAAAAAAAAAAAAAAAAAAAUUGUUUAAAUUUCAUGACUUGUACCUCGGUAAAUGGAAGAGUAUUAGGAAUGUCUUCCUUUGAGGGGUAAAGGAUUAAUCAACAUAUAUUCAGGAGGACACCUCGAGAGUGAAGGAGACCCAGACAGUGGGAAGGUCCCAAUCAUAGCCCUUCACAUCCACUGAUCUCUCCUCCUCCUCUUCCCUCUGUGUCAAUGUUACCUAGACCAACCUCUGAGCUGCUAAAGGCGAAUCCAUCCUCUAUCUCAUGCUGCACAGCUUACUGAAGAGAGAAAGACAAAGUUCUAGAGUAGAGCAUUUUCUGACACUUUGCCAUGUGCCCACAAAAUGAAGCUCCUCAGAGUAAGAGGUAGCAGCAGAUGAGCAGUUGAGUGAACCAGCCAGCUGAAGCCUCACCAAGUCCUACCUUGAACUUUCCUAGUUGUCUCACACUGAAGGUGGAUUUAGUACACUCCUCCUCCCUGCAAUUGGGUCUCAAAAUGCAAGAGAGCCACCCCUUGAGGCAGGAUGAGGGAAGGUGCAGAGAAGCAGCCCAAAAUGUCUAGAUUUGAUGGUGCUAUGCCCUGAGCAUGGGCCCCACUUCUGUACCCACAUCCUCAUCUCUGGAUCUGUGUUGUUCUUGCUUGGUCUUGCCCUUUUCCCAUCCUUAUUUUGCCUCUGAAGACGCUAGUGUUUUGGCAGAAACCUAGAAACACUAAUAAAAAUUACAAAUGCCACUAUAAACAAUAACUCAGUAUUUGUGUUUCUCAAAACUUUGUCCUUUCCAGUAAAGUAUAAAUGUUUUGAAGGAAGGAACCAUGUCCAUUUCUAUGCAUGCUGAAAACACAGUGGUUCAUACAGCACCUGACACAGAGCAACUGCUCAAGAAUAUUGAGACAUGUUAGGUUGCACCUGUGGUUCUCAAAUUUUAGCUAGAGAGCAUGGGCUAUGGAGGCAGACAGACUUGCAUUUAAAUUCUGACUCUGACACUCACUAGGUGUGAUGCCCCAGAUAAAUCACUUGUCUUCUUAGAGUCUCAGUUUUCUUGUCUCUAAAAUGGGGCUGAUAGACGUGCCAUGAGGAUUGAAUGAGAUAACAUGAAAAAUAACUGUUGCAUUUGGCCUGCGGCAGAUAUUCAAUAAAGAGUAACUGUCAUCAUUAUUAAUUUCACCAUUAUUAUUACGAUCUUAACACUGGGCCAUGCUCUAGACAUUAGAGUAACUCAUGUUCUUCUAUGCAUUUUCUCUCUGAAAAGGUAAACCAGAAUUGGGAAAGGCUGCUUGAGGAUUAUUUCAGAAGAGCGAUGGUUCUUUAUGCUGAGAAAAUGUUCUUGAUAUGACAUGCAAUGCCCGCUCUAGGUCACAGAGCAGCAAAGUUCAGCUAAAUUCUAACAAAACUUGUUGAAACCAAUAGAUCGGAAGACUUACUGUCAGAAGUCUAAACCAGCUUCAAACUCCUCAAUACGUAGAAUGCUGGGGAAAAGUAAUUUAGCCUUUCUCACCCUGCUCCCUCAUCUGUGAAAGAAGAUUAAUAGCACCUACUUUUUAGGCUUAUUAUAGGAAUUAAAUAACUAUUCUGUGUGCAAAUGCAUACAGAAUGCAAAGCACUAAACAAGUAUUAUUUAUUUGGAGUAAAACAGACCUAGUUUCAACCACCCUAUUCACUGAGCCUAAAAAUCCACCCUUACAUGUAACACCCACGUGUUGAUUUAGAGUUUAUAAAAUGUGGUCAUUGUAGCUAUAUAAUCUCUAAUGAUCUCAGCCAUCUUUCCACAUUGCCAGAGGGCCCAAAUGCCUCCACCACCAUCCCAGCCUCUUUGUACAGGCCUGCAUGAGGAUUUGAUUACUUAAUAAAACCACCAGCUACACAAAGAGGGAAAGAGAUGCACUGAGAACAGGAUGAUUAUGAGCAGAAGGAAAUGGAAGUGGAUCCUGGAAAGGUGAAAGAGUGGUAGGAAAGGAUCCUAUACUCCCAUGAAGACUAUAUCAUAUGAUAGAACAAAGUAAGAGCGGUGAGUAAAAUCAGCUUGCUGCCCAGCCCCAGGAAGAGGAAAAGAGACAGCAUCUGAGCAGUCCACCCACCACAGGGAAGGAACAAGUCAGAGAAAGUAAAAGGGAAAACAAUGGAAGUAGUCUGAGAGGUUUUCUUCUUUCCUGUCUUGGGCGCAGAUAGUUGAGACUCCUCUCCGCUCUUAAAGGUAAGGAAGUCAUGUGGAGAUGAUCACAUUAAAAAUAGCGCAUUCAAUACUUUCCCGUAAAGAUUUGAAAUCUCCUUGGCAUGUCAGGGUGACCCUGUUACUGGAGCUCUCAAACAAAUGAGAGAAAAUGGAAAAUAGCCUGGGUUUGGGGCUCAUUCUCUUUUAGAUUUCAUAACUGUCAUUCUGCAGAUGCUGUUUAGAGUAGCUGUUUCUCAUUCACUUGAUGUUGAGAACACUGACAUUUCCCGAGAAUUUAAGGAAAGAGGAACAAACAAUGAUUGAUGAAAGGGGAUUAGCAGAGGGAACAAAGGAGUCUCCUCUCUCCCACCUUCCCUCACCCACCCAACCAUCACUCUCACAGAAAGCCCCAACCACCCCAGCAAGCCCCCUUGGAAAGAUCACAGGGACAGCUGCCUUUUUGGCCAAGCAACAUGGAAUGCAACAAGAAAGAAAAGGAAGCACAAGAGACAAACAGUUCAGUGCUUAGAGUCUCAUACUUCCAUAGGGUAGUAUUUUGAUUCAUGGAAACUUGAAUCUAAAAUUUGACAAAUGUUAGGGGAAAAAAACUAUCUUCACCCUACCCCUCCAUAUGUAAUCUGGUACCAGUCCAUAAAAGGGUUGUUAAACUCUGCACAGACCACCUUAUAAAAAUAAGCCCUUUUAUCUGCUGCCAGAGAACAACAAAAGAACUCUUGAGUAUCUGUGGAGAUUCUAGGAUUAUGUUAGGAUGGAUAAUAGAAAGGCAAAUACUCACUAAAAGACUGUCUGUUACUCUCAGAAUCACUAUAGCAAUACCCAAGCCAUGCAGCUGAGAAAAGCCUUAACACACACUAUGCAAUUCAAAUGCAACCCAUCACUGCUGAUAUAAUUACAGGUGCCUGCCUUCCUCCUCUCAGAUCUGUGGAUAAAAGCCUAGGGCUGAAUUUGUAUCUCAGCUGCACAGAAGCCGAAACUAGUAGCCAAUAAACACAGAGAAUUCUGCAUUUGACAGACAGGCUCUUGGAGGAUAUAGAGCUAAUCUUGUUCAACAGUUCUUCUACACUCAGAACUAUCAGGAUGACAAAAAGGGAAGGGAUGUUUAUGGACGCUCCCUAACUGCAGAACUUUAUUUCAUUUAAGCCUCACAAGAAUCAUGUAAGUGAGAUGUUAUCUUUAUUCUUUAAAUAAGAAAAAUGAGACUCAAAAAUUGAGCAAUUUGCCUUAGGUUGCACACCUCUAUCAGUGGUGGAAUUGGCCCUGGAACCUCAAUCUUUCUGACCACAUUGUCCAGACCUUUUCCAGAUCAGUGAGGAUCAGGCUCCUGGCAAUAGUAGGUAAUUAGCAAUGGGCUGUGAUUCUCCUAACUUGUAAGCUCCUCUCAAAGGCUGAUGCAUGGCAGCUUUCAAAUGAGAGUUCUGCACCUCGGUCCUUUUAGGGAGAGGUGG